UGGGGAAUUUUGGACAAUGGGCGCAAGCCUGAUCCAGCCAUGCCGCGUGCGGGAAGAAGGCCUUCGGGUUGUAAACCGCUUUUGUCAGGGAAGAAAUCUUCUGAGUUAAUACCUCGGGAGGAUGACGGUACCUGAAGAAUAAGCACCGGCUAACUACGUGCCAGCAGCCGCGGUAAUACGUAGGGUGCAAGCGUUAAUCGGAAUUACUGGGCGUAAAGCGUGCGCAGGCGGUUUUGUAAGACAGAGGUGAAAUCCCCGGGCUCAACCUGGGAACUGCCUUUGUGACUGCAAGGCUUGAGUGCGGCAGAGGGGGGCAUGGAAUUCCGCGUGUAGCAGUGAAAUGCGUAGAUAUGCGGAGGAACACCGAUGGCGAAGGCAAUUCCCCUGGGCCUGCACUGACGCUCAUGCACGAAAGCGUGGGGAGCAAAACAGGAUUAGAUCCCUGGUAGUCCACGCCCCUAAAACGAUGUCAACUGGUUGUUGGGAAGGUUCCUUCUCAGUAACGUAGCUAACGC
rnacentral:rRNA from 1 species